UCAUUUGCCAAGGAUGUUUUCAUUAAUCAAGAACGAAGGUUAGGGGAUCGAAAACGAUCAGAUACCGUUGUAGUCUUAACAGUAAACUAUGCCGACUAGGGAUCGGGCGAUCUCAAUCUUAUGUGUCGCUCGGCACCUUACGAGAAAUCAAAGUCUUUGGGUUCUGGGGGGGAGUAUGGUCGCAAGGCUGAAACUUAAAGGAAUUGACGGAAGGGCACCACCAGGAGUGGAGCCUGCGGCUUAAUUUGACUCAACACGGGGAAACUCACCAGGUCCAGACAUGACUAGGAUUGACAGAUUGAUAGCUCUUUUCAUGAUUUUAUGGGUGGUGGUGCAUGGCCGUUCUUAGUUGGUGGAGUGAUUUGUCUGGUUAAUUCCGAUAACGAACGAGACCUUAACCUGCUUAAUAGCCAGGCCGGCUUUUGCUGGUCGCCGGCUUCUUAGAGGGACUGUCUGCGUCUAGCAGACGGAAGUUUGAGGCAAUAACAGGUCUGUGAUGCCCUUAGAUGUUCUGGGCCGCACGCGCGCUACACUCGACAGAGCCAGCGAGUUUAUAACCUUGGCCGGAAGGUCUGGGUAAUCUUGUGAAACUCUGUCGUGCUGGGGGAUAGAGCAUUGCAAUUAUUGCUCUUCAACGAGGGAAUUCCUAGUAAGCGUGAGUCAUCAGCUCGCGUUGAUUACGUCCCUGCCCUUUGUACACACCGCCCGUCGCUACUACCGAUUGAAUGGCUUAGUGAGGGUCUUGGGGAUUGGCUUCGGGGAGCCGGCAACGGCACCCUGUCGCUGAGAACUUGAUCAAACUUGGUCAUUUAGAGGAAGUAAAAAGUCGUAACAAGGUUUCCGUAGGUGAACCUGCGGAAGGAUCAUUA
rfam:Trametes cinnabarina, BRFM137, WGS project CCBP01000000 data, contig: scf184412